rnacentral:tRNA from 1 species
GGGCGCUUAGCUCAGUUGGUAGAGCGCCUGCCUUACAAGCAGGAUGUCGGCGGUUCGACCCCGUCAGCGCCCA